rnacentral:rRNA from 1 species
UACAGAGGGUGCGAGCGUUAAUCGGAAUUACUGGGCGUAAAGCGUGCGUAGACGGUAGCGUAAGUCAGAUGUGAAAGCCCCGGGCUCAACCUGGGAACUGCAUUUGAGACUGCUCUGCUCGGGUGCGGAAGAGGGAAGCGGAAUUUCCGAUGUAGCGGUGAAAUGCGUAGAUAUCGGAAGGAACACCAGUGGCGAAAGCGGCUUCCUGGUCCGACACCGACGUUCAGGCACGAAAGCGUGGGGAGCAAACAGG